CCGACAACCAAUCAUCCUUUUUUCAGGUGACCUCGGAUCAUGUAGG
rnacentral:rRNA from 1 species